CGACUACAGCAAUUAUUUUAAAAUCAUUGAGGACUUCAGAGGCAAGAUUCUUGAUGCCACCGUUGACAAUUCUAAGAUUGUGUUGCAAAUUGAUAACGCCAGGCUGGCUGCAGAUG
rnacentral:pre_miRNA from 1 species